CUAACUACUCGGGGGUGCCAAUCGACAAAAGGCUGAGAUUAUACCCUAAGGACCUGAUCCGGAUAAUACCGGCGUGGGGAGCAGAAGAGUCACAGUUA
rnacentral:ncRNA from 1 species